CAUAAUUGCUUAUCCUGAAGUGUACUGUGACACUUCGCGCUUUUCGUGUCGUCUGAGAUUAUCCCCGAAACCGCUCCACAGGCGCCGCUAGGAGGAGUGCGAAGCGCGGAAUUGAAACAGACGUACAGCAGAUAACGUUAUGGAAAAACAGCCUUCAGUCAACGGAUCGAAAAUGGAAGGGCACCCCCCAACCCCGGAGGAGGAGGAGUUUGACCUGGAGGAGGAAUUGCGAAGUAUACAGGCGUUACAGGGGCGCCUUGAGCUGACCCUAUGGACGAUUCGGCUCCUGUUGGACAUUGCUGGCUACCGACUUCGACUUGCCGGGCCACACGGCGAUAGCAACGACAAUCCCCAAAGUCAUUGAAGAAACGCUCGAAGCUUCUAUUUUUCUGGACUUUUUCGUUCUAUUUUUUCUUUCUUCUUUUUUUCCUUCUUGUUUUGUUUUCUUUUGUCGGAAAAGAAUUCGUAUGUCAAUAAAUGAAUACUGCA